UUUAAGUCGUUCUUGGUUUCUUUAUUCGUGAAAUAGUCAUCCAAAUACUAUUCGUGGUAAAAUUUUAUUGUGGCAAAAUUUUUAAAUUGAUUUGCACGAUUUUGUUGCCAAGUUAACUCGUCACUCUACAAAUUGCUACGUAACAAACACUGGUAACAAUAAAUGAUCGAAUUUGAAUUCGGUUAAUAUUCAUGUACCUCCCCGUUUACUUCGCUUUCAUUUUUUGUUCUAUACGCUUAUUCCACGCACCAAUGCUUUUCGGAAUUCUCCUAUGUUGCGAAUAACUCGCCAAACUGACAAACUUGAUAUCGAUUUGUUUCAGCACUUAUUUAUUACAUUUAGGCCCGUUACUACCAAACCGUUGGCAUCUAUUAGAUAAGCUAGCUAUAAGAUACCGCUAAACUAAUAGUUUACCGAGUCGGCGGUCCUACCACCUCAGGUUAUCUCACAGGUAGGAAAUCCUUAAGAUAUCUAAAGAAUCUAGUGAUUUUAUUUCUGGUGAAUUUUUAAGUUGGCAACCAUACAGUAAAAAGGCCUAAUAUCUUGACAUUUCUAGUUUAUUUUAACUCAUUUCCGCUCAUUCUAACCUCAAACGUCGUCAUAAAUGGCACGUGUUUCAGUGAUUAUUAUUUUGUUGAAGAUGGAAAACGACAAUAAAAAAAACGUAACGCAAAUUAUUCCAAACAAGAAAUGGAACUGCUAAUUGAUUUGAUUAUAGAAAAAAAAACAUAAUAGAAAAUAAAAAAAGUGACGCCGUUCACUGGCAGGAAAAGCAUCAAACAUGGAGUGAAAUAGCUCGGGCUAUGACAGCCACUACCGGUAUUGAGCGGGAUGUAAAAAGUGUGAAAGGGAAGUAUGAUCAGAUAAAAAAAGAAUUCUAAGAUACGCAUAAACACAAUGAAGACCGAUCCUGUAGAAGUUGUCUCAUUAACCCCUAUUGAGGAAAAAGUGAAAGGUAAAUUUACGUUCGAAUGAUGUUAAAGUAAGUAAAAAUGUUUAUGCUUUAGGCCUCAUACUAUUAUCAGUUGUUGGAAUGCCAUCAACAUACGAUUCAGAUGUAAUCACACAUUCUGAUUCUAUGUAUUUGUUUAUCCAUAUCACCGUUGUAGAAUUAAGGUAAAUAUUAAUUAAAAUUAUAUACUAUGGUGAUUAUUUAUAUAUGUCUUACUAUUACUUACAAUUGUUCAUAACCUAGAAAUAACUCAUUUACCCAACUUGUCACACAUAUAAUAGUUGGCGAGUUUAUUUAUUAAUAUUAGUUUUUGUGAUAGAUAGUUGUAGUUUAGUGCAUGAAUAGAUAUAAUAAUAAACAAACAUUCACUUCCCAACGUUUAUAGAAACUAGUUAAGGUAAGUGUUUUUUACAAUUAAUAGUCCCUCUUUUGUUAACCUAUAAAAUAUAAUUAUGAAUAAUUUUUAUACUUACCUUUGUAGAGGUCUCUGAAGACGGUAAUGUAACCGAAACUAGUAAGACAAAUAUAUAAAUAAUCACCAUA